UGAGCAGGCCAGACAAUCGCGGGCACAAAUCCGAAAGGAUGUGCGUGAGGAAAGUCCGGGCUCCAUAGGGCAGGAUGCCGGAUAGUUACCCGGUGGAGGCGACUCUAAGGAAAGUGCAACAGAAAAUAAACCGCCGCAUUUUUGCGGUAAGGGUGGAAUAGUGAGGUAAGAGCUCACUGGGGAGUGGGUAAUCACUCCUUUCGUGUAAACCCCAUCCGGAGCAACACCGCAUUAGGAGAAUACGUUGGCCCGACGCUCCUGGGUAGGUGGCUUGAACCGUUUAGAGAUAUUCGGUCUAGAUAGAUGAUUGUCAAAUACAGAACCCGGCUUACAGACCUGCUCAAUUU
rnacentral:RNase_P_RNA from 1 species